rnacentral:tRNA from 1 species
GGGGGAGUAGCUCAGUGGGAGAGCACUUGCCUAGUAGGCAAAAGGCUCUGGGUUCCAUCCCCAGCACCACAA